rnacentral:rRNA from 1 species
UACGUAGGGGGCUAGCGUUGUCCGGAUUUAUUGGGCGUAAAGAGCGUGUAGGCGGCCAGGUAGGUCUGCUGUGAAAACUCGAGGCUUAACCUCGAGAUGUCGGCGGAAACCAUCUGGCUAGAGUCCGGAAGAGGAGAGUGGAAUUCCUGGUGUAGCGGUGAAAUGCGCAGAUAUCAGGAAGAACACCAAUGGCGAAGGCAGCUCUCUGGGACGGUACUGACGCUGAGACGCGAAAGCGUGGGGAGCGAACAGG